AGUGAACGCUGGCGGUAGGCCUAACACAUGCAAGUCGAACGGCAGCACAGUAAGAGCUUGCUCUUACGGGUGGCGAGUGGCGGACGGGUGAGGAAUACAUCGGAAUCUACUUUUUCGUGGAGGAUAACGUAGGGAAACUUACGCUAAUACCGCAUACGACCUACGGGUGAAAGCAGGGGAUCUUCGGACCUUGCGCGAUUGAAUGAGCCGAUGUCGGGUUAGCUAGUUGGCGGGGUAAAGGCCCACCAAGGCGACGAUCCGUAGCUGGUCUGAGAGGAUGGUCAGCCACAGUGGAACUGAGACACGGUCCAGACUCCGACGGGAGGCAGCAGUGGGGAAUAGUGGAAAAUGGGCGCAAGCCUGAUCCAGCCAUACCGCGUGGGUGAAGAAGGCCUUCGUGUUGUAAAGCCCUUUUGUUGGGAAAGAAAAGCAGCAGGUUAAUACCCCGCUGUUCUGACGGUACCCAAAGAAUAAGCACCGGCUAACUUCGU
rnacentral:rRNA from 1 species